CAGUAGCCGCGGGAAUACAGAGGGUGCAAGCGUUAAUCGGAAUUACUGGGCGUAAAGCGCGCGUAGGUGGUUUGUUAAGUUGGAUGUGAAAGCCCCGGGCUCAACCUGGGAACUGCAUCCAAAACUGGCAAGCUAGAGUACGGUAGAGGGUGGUGGAAUUUCCUGUGUAGCGGUGAAAUGCGUAGAUAUAGGAAGGAACACCAGUGGCGAAGGCGACCACCUGGACUGAUACUGACACUGAGGUGCGAAAGCGUGGGGAGCAAACAGGAUUAGAUACCCCUGUAGUCCCUGUCCCUUAUAC
rnacentral:rRNA from 1 species